rnacentral:rRNA from 1 species
GACGAACGCUGGCGGCGUGCUUAACACAUGCAAGUCGAACGGAAAGGCCCUGCUUUUGUGGGGUGCUCGAGUGGCGAACGGGUGAGUAACACGUGGGUAACCUGCCCUUGACUUUGGGAUAACUUCAGGAAACUGGGGCUAAUACCGGAUAGGAGCUCCUGCUGCAUGGUGGGGGUUGGAAAGUUUCGGCGGUUGGGGAUGGACUCGCGGCUUAUCAGCUUGUUGGUGGGGUAGUGGCUUACCAAGGCUUUGACGGGUAGCCGGCCUGAGAGGGUGGCCGGCGACAUUGGGACUGAGAGACGGCCCAGACUCCUACGGGAGGCAGCAGUGGGGAAUAUUGCACAAUGGGCGGGAGCCUGAUGCAGAAACGCCGCGUGCGGGAUGACGGCCUUCGGGUUGUAAACCGAUGUCGCCUGUGACGAAGCGUGAGUGACGGUAAUGGGUAAAGAAGCACCGGCUAACUACGUG